GGGUUGUGAGGUUAAGCGACUAAGCGUACACGGUGGAUGCCCUGGCAGUCAGAGGCGAUGAAGGACGUGCUAAUCUGCGAUAAGCGUCGGUAAGGUGAUAUGAACCGUUAUAACCGGCGAUUUCCGAAUGGGGAAACCCAGUGUGUUUCGACACACUAUCAUUAACUGAAUCCAUAGGUUAAUGAGGCGAACCGGGGGAACUGAAACAUCUAAGUACCCCGAGGAAAAGAAAUCAACCGAGAUUCCCCCAGUAGCGGCGAGCGAACGGGGAGCAGCCCAGAGCCUGAAUCAGUGUGUGUGUUAGUGGAAGCGUCUGGAAAGGCGCGCGAUACAGGGUGACAGCCCCGUACACAAAAAUGCACAUACUGUGAGCUCGAUGAGUAGGGCGGGACACGUGGUAUCCUGUCUGAAUAUGGGGGGACCAUCCUCCAAGGCUAAAUACUCCUGACUGACCGAUAGUGAACCAGUACCGUGAGGGAAAGGCGAAAAGAACCCCGGCGAGGGGAGUGAAAAAGAACCUGAAACCGUGUACGUACAAGCAGUGGGAGCACGCUUCGGCGUGUGACUGCGUACCUUUUGUAUAAUGGGUCAGCGACUUAUAUUCUGUAGCAAGGUUAACCGAAUAGGGGAGCCGAAGGGAAACCGAGUCUUAACUGGGCGUUAAGUUGCAGGGUAUAGACCCGAAACCCGGUGAUCUAGCCAUGGGCAGGUUGAAGGUUGGGUAACACUAACUGGAGGACCGAACCGACUAAUGUUGAAAAAUUAGCGGAUGACUUGUGGCUGGGGGUGAAAGGCCAAUCAAACCGGGAGAUAGCUGGUUCUCCCCGAAAGCUAUUUAGGUAGCGCCUCGUGAAUUCAUCUCCGGGGGUAGAGCACUGUUUCGGCAAGGGGGUCAUCCCGACUUACCAACCCGAUGCAAACUGCGAAUACCGGAGAAUGUUAUCACGGGAGACACACGGCGGGUGCUAACGUCCGUCGUGAAGAGGGAAACAACCCAGACCGCCAGCUAAGGUCCCAAAGUCAUGGUUAAGUGGGAAACGAUGUGGGAAGGCCCAGACAGCCAGGAUGUUGGCUUAGAAGCAGCCAUCAUUUAAAGAAAGCGUAAUAGCUCACUGGUCGAGUCGGCCUGCGCGGAAGAUGUAACGGGGCUAAACCAUGCACCGAAGCUGCGGCAGCGACGCUUAUGCGUUGUUGGGUAGGGGAGCGUUCUGUAAGCCUGCGAAGGUGUGCUGUGAGGCAUGCUGGAGGUAUCAGAAGUGCGAAUGCUGACAUAAGUAACGAUAAAGCGGGUGAAAAGCCCGCUCGCCGGAAGACCAAGGGUUCCUGUCCAACGUUAAUCGGGGCAGGGUGAGUCGACCCCUAAGGCGAGGCCGAAAGGCGUAGUCGAUGGGAAACAGGUUAAUAUUCCUGUACUUGGUGUUACUGCGAAGGGGGGACGGAGAAGGCUAUGUUGGCCGGGCGACGGUUGUCCCGGUUUAAGCGUGUAGGCUGGUUUUCCAGGCAAAUCCGGAAAAUCAAGGCUGAGGCGUGAUGACGAGGCACUACGGUGCUGAAGCAACAAAUGCCCUGCUUCCAGGAAAAGCCUCUAAGCAUCAGGUAACAUCAAAUCGUACCCCAAACCGACACAGGUGGUCAGGUAGAGAAUACCAAGGCGCUUGAGAGAACUCGGGUGAAGGAACUAGGCAAAAUGGUGCCGUAACUUCGGGAGAAGGCACGCUGAUAUGUAGGUGAAGCGACUUGCUCGUGGAGCUGAAAUCAGUCGAAGAUACCAGCUGGCUGCAACUGUUUAUUAAAAACACAGCACUGUGCAAACACGAAAGUGGACGUAUACGGUGUGACGCCUGCCCGGUGCCGGAAGGUUAAUUGAUGGGGUUAGCCGCAAGGCGAAGCUCUUGAUCGAAGCCCCGGUAAACGGCGGCCGUAACUAUAACGGUCCUAAGGUAGCGAAAUUCCUUGUCGGGUAAGUUCCGACCUGCACGAAUGGCGUAAUGAUGGCCAGGCUGUCUCCACCCGAGACUCAGUGAAAUUGAACUCGCUGUGAAGAUGCAGUGUACCCGCGGCAAGACGGAAAGACCCCGUGAACCUUUACUAUAGCUUGACACUGAACAUUGAGCCUUGAUGUGUAGGAUAGGUGGGAGGCUUUGAAGUGUGGACGCCAGUCUGCAUGGAGCCGACCUUGAAAUACCACCCUUUAAUGUUUGAUGUUCUAACGUUGACCCGUAAUCCGGGUUGCGGACAGUGUCUGGUGGGUAGUUUGACUGGGGCGGUCUCCUCCUAAAGAGUAACGGAGGAGCACGAAGGUUGGCUAAUCCUGGUCGGACAUCAGGAGGUUAGUGCAAUGGCAUAAGCCAGCUUGACUGCGAGCGUGACGGCGCGAGCAGGUGCGAAAGCAGGUCAUAGUGAUCCGGUGGUUCUGAAUGGAAGGGCCAUCGCUCAACGGAUAAAAGGUACUCCGGGGAUAACAGGCUGAUACCGCCCAAGAGUUCAUAUCGACGGCGGUGUUUGGCACCUCGAUGUCGGCUCAUCACAUCCUGGGGCUGAAGUAGGUCCCAAGGGUAUGGCUGUUCGCCAUUUAAAGUGGUACGCGAGCUGGGUUUAGAACGUCGUGAGACAGUUCGGUCCCUAUCUGCCGUGGGCGCUGGAGAACUGAGGGGGGCUGCUCCUAGUACGAGAGGACCGGAGUGGACGCAUCACUGGUGUUCGGGUUGUCAUGCCAAUGGCACUGCCCGGUAGCUAAAUGCGGAAGAGAUAAGUGCUGAAAGCAUCUAAGCACGAAACUUGCCCCGAGAUGAGUUCUCCCUGACUCCUUGAGAGUCCUGAAGGAACGUUGAAGACGACGACGUUGAUAGGCCGGGUGUGUAAGCGCAGCGAUGCGUUGAGCUAACCGGUACUAAUGAACCGUGAGGCUUAACCUUACAACGCCGAAGGUGUUU
rnacentral:rRNA from 1 species